UUGCACGCUGGCGGCAGGCCUAACACAUGCAAGUCGAGCGGAUGAAGGGAGCUUGCUCCUGGAUUCAGCGGCGGACGGGUGCGUAAUGCCUAGGAAUCUGCCUGGUAGUGGGGGAUAACGUCCGGAAACGGGCGCUAAUACCGCAUACGUCCUGAGGGAGAAAGUGGGGGAUCUUCGGACCUCACGCUAUCAGAUGAGCCUAGGUCGGAUUAGCUAGUUGGUGGGGUAAAGGCCUACCAAGGCGACGAUCCGUAACUGGUCUGAGAGGAUGAUCAGUCACACUGGAACUGAGACACGGUCCAGACUCCUACGGGAGGCAGCAGUGGGGAAUAUUGGACAAUGGGCGAAAGCCUGAUCCAGCCAUGCCGCGUGUGUGAAGAAGGUCUUCGGAUUGUAAAGCACUUUAAGUUGGGAGGAAGGGCAGUAAGUUAAUACCUUGCUGUUUUGACGUUACCAACAGAAUAAGCACCGGCUAACUUCGUG
rnacentral:rRNA from 1 species